rnacentral:rRNA from 1 species
UACGUAGGGUGCAAGCGUUAAUCGGAAUUACUGGGCGUAAAGCGUGCGCAGGCGGUUUUGUAAGUCUGUCGUGAAAUCCCCCGGGCUCAACCUGGGAAUUGCAUUCGAUACUGGAUAGCUAGAGUUCGGCAGAGGGAAGUGGAAUUUCGGGUGUAGCGGUGAAAUGCGUAGAUAUCCGAAGGAACAUCAGUGGCGAAAGCGACUUCCUGGACCAGAACUGACGAUCAGGCACGAAAGCGUGGGGGAGCAAACAGG